rnacentral:rRNA from 1 species
UGAAUACGAGACGCUAAGGCGUCGAAGUAGUGUAUGUCAUACUUCCAAGAAAAGCUUGCACUGUCAUAGAUAAAAAACGCCUGUACCAUAACCGACACAGGUGGGUAGGUAGAGUAUACUAAGGGGCGCGAGAUAACUCUCUCUAAGGAACUCGGCAAAAUAACUCCGUAACUUCGGGAGAAGGAGUGCCUUAUUCGUAAGGUUGCAAUAACAAGAUCCAAGCAACUGUUUAUCAAAAACACAGGUCUCCGCUAAGUCGUAAGACGAUGUAUGGGGGCUGACGCCUGCCCAGUGCCAGAAGGUUAAAGAAGUUGGUUAGCAAUUGCGAAGCUGAUAACUGAAGCCCUGGUGAACGGCGGCCGUAACGAUAACGGUCCUAAGGUAGCGAAAUUCCUUGUCGGGUAAGUUCCGACCCGCACGAAAGGCGUAAUGAUUUGGAUACUGUCUCGGAGAGGGGCUCGGUGAAAUAGACUUGUCUGUGAAGAUGCGGACUACCUGCACCAGGACAGAAAGACCCUAUGAAGCUUUACUGUAACUUGAAAUUGAAAUUGGACUUUAUUCGCGCAGUAUAGGUGGGAGGCGUUGAUUAUAAUCUUGUGGGAUUAUUGGAGCCAUCAGUGAGAUACCACUCUUGUAAUGUUAGAUUUCUAACUUUGAAUCAUUAUCUGGUCAAAGAACAGUUCCAGGCGGGCAGUUUGACUGGGGCGGUCGCCUCCUAAACGGUAACGGAGGCGUACAAAGGUUUCCUCUGAACGGUUAGAAAUCGUAUCUAGAGUGUAAAGGCAUAAGGAAGCUUGACUGUGAGACCUACAAGUCGAGCAGGGACGAAAGUCGGUCUUAGUGAUCUGACGGUACUGAGUGGAAAGGCCGUCACUCAACGGAUAAAAGUUACUCUAAGGAUAACAGGCUGAUCUCCCCCAAGAGUUCACAUCGACGGGGAGGUUUGGCACCUCGAUGUCGGCUCAUCGCAUCCUGGGGCGGUAGUACGUCCCAAGGGUUGGGCUGUUCGCCCAUGAAAGCGGUACGCGAGCUGGGUUCAGAACGUCGUGAGACAGUUCGGUCCAUAUCCGGUGUAGGCGUUAGAAUAUUGAGAGGAGCCUUCUUUAGUACGAGAGGACCGAGAAGGACAUACCUCUGGUGUACCAGUUAUCGUGCCAACGGUAAACGCUGGGUAGCUAUGUAUGGAGUGGAUAACCGCUGAAAGCAUCUAAGUGGGAAGCCCACCUCAAGAUAAG